rnacentral:lncRNA from 1 species
CAUCAGCUGACCCAAAAUUUUCUCACCCGAUCAGAAGACACUGGUCGGCUUAUGCUGGACUGCUCCAUCCUCCAGCUGCGGGGGGUCUCGGAUGUAAACCGGCGCAUCUUUUAAGACUUUCAGGACUGAGGCUUGCUGCAGUAUGUCGGACCUUGAGUUCGUAAAUGUGUGCGUAAUGAAGAUUCUUGCUGCUGUCCUCUGCCUCCCGCUGACGGUGCUUGGAAUUGCAGUGUCCAGCAGGGAGUUGCAGUGCUCCGUGUCUCCAGUGGCGGCGCUGCACCCUGUUCAGGCCCAGCUCGAGCGCUUUGAGGCGGGAACAGGUUGUGCAUCCAGAGAGGGCGGAGCUAAAGAGACACAUGUUAUCUCAGUGGGCGGAGCCUCCAGCAGACAGGUAUAUAAGAAUCCGUGCACUCACUUGUCAUAG